rnacentral:rRNA from 1 species
UACGUAGGGAGCGAGCGUUGUCCGGAAUUACUGGGCGUAAAGGGCGCGUAGGCGGCUAUGCAAGUCUCAUGUGAAAGUCCUGGGCUCAACCUGGGGAGUGCAUGGGAAACUGUGUGGCUUGAGUGUGGUAGAGGAUCGCGGAAUUCCUAGUGUAGCGGUGAAAUGCGUAGAUAUUAGGAGGAACACCAGUGGCGAAGGCGGCGAUCUGGGCCAUAACUGACGCUGAGGCGCGAAAGCGUGGGGAGCAAACAGG